rnacentral:rRNA from 1 species
UACGGAGGGGGCUAGCGUUGUUCGGAAUUACUGGGCGUAAAGCGCACGUAGGCGGCUUUGUAAGUUAGAGGUGAAAGCCCAGGGCUUAACCCGUGGAAUUGCCUUUAAGACUGCAUCGCUAGAAUCGUGGAGAGGUAAGUGGAAUUCCGAGUGUAGAGGUGAAGUUCGUAGAUAUUCGGAAGAACACCAGUGGCGAAGGCGACUUACUGGACA